AGAUGCUUCGUGAUAUAUGCAGAGGGUUGAUGUGCAUGCAUCGGAUGAAGAUUGUCCACCGUGAUCUAAAAAGUGCAAACUGCCUUGUGAACAAGCACUGGAGUGUCAAAAUAUGUGAUUUUGGGCUCUCGAAAAUAAUGACAGAUGCACCUAUGAGAGAUACUGCAGCAGCUGGCACUCCUGAAUGGAUGGCUCCAGAGCUCAUCCGAAACGAG
rnacentral:misc_RNA from 1 species